GACGAACGCUGGCGGCGUGCUUAACACAUGCAAGUCGAACGAAAAGAGGGAAAGAGCUUGCUCUUUCCGGAAUUGAGUGGCAAACGGGUGAGUAACACGUAAACAACCUGCCUUCAGGAUGUGGACAACAGACGGAAACGACUGCUAAUACCGAAUAAGUUCCAAGAGCCGCAUGGCCCAUGGAAGAAAAGGUGGCCUCUACCUGUAAGCUAUCGCCUGAAGAGGGGUUUGCGUCUGAUUAGCUGGUUGGAGGGGUAACGGCCCACCAAGGCGACGAUCAGUAGCCGGUCUGAGAGGAUGAACGGCCACACUGGAACUGAGACACGGUCCAGACUCCUACGGGAGGCAGCAGUGGGGAAUCUUCCGCAAUGGGCGAAAGCCUGACGGAGCAACGCCGCGUGAGUGAUGACGGCCUUCGGGUUGUAAAACUCUGUGAUCCGGGACGAAAAGGCAGAGUGCGAAGAACAAACUGCAUUGACGGUACCGGAAAAGCAAGCCACGGCUAACUACGUG
rnacentral:rRNA from 1 species